rnacentral:lncRNA from 1 species
GCUAACUUGUAGGUCUUUAUUUGGAGGAAGAAGACGAUGACACGACGGAGGUGAAUAGGUGAUGGCCCUCAAUAUUUACUGGAGCUUAAUUGACCAGGAAAUUCCCCCAUUGGAAGUCCAGGAUAACUAUUUGUCACGACGUACAUAAUAUAAUUAUAAAUGUCUUUCAAGAAGUGGAAAACGUACAGAACCUCCGACAGCACCCAUGCCGAAUGCUCCGCCAAUGUCAUCGAGUAUACGAUCAGGGCAUGGUUCACGUCUCCGGGGUGAAGGAAAAAAAACAAGAACAAAGAAGGAGAAGACGAUGGAUGGAUGAUAUUCGUGACAGGAACUGGAAAUAGCGACUGUGAUUGUCAAUUGGGUAGGUAAAUAAGACCUCAAAAAUCAAUAUAUAUUACCUUGUCAAUUGGGUUUGAGAUUGAUGUUUUAACAUUUAUAUACAGGCUCAACGCCCAAUUAAUGUUAUUUUGGCUCAAAAAUUAUGCCGGAACAUACUCAAUUGAUUCGAACUGAAAACAAGUAAGAUUUUAUUAUUCCCCCUUUAAGAGACAUAAACAUCCAAAAUUAUAAAUUUAUUUUGAUAAUUUUUACGAUCUAUUUCUUUUCUUCAGUUUCUCAGCAACCAUGAGAGUGAUGAAUUCUGGAAGGGUUAAAUACACUAUUGUCCCUUCUUUGUGACUCCAAUCUAA